GACGAACGCUGGCGGCGUGCCUAAUACAUGCAAGUUGAGCGCUGAAGGUUGGUACUUGUACCGACUGGAUGAGCAGCGAACGGGUGAGUAACGCGUGGGGAAUCUGCCUUUGAGCGGGGGACAACAUUUGGAAACGAAUGCUAAUACCGCAUAACAACUUUAAACACAAGUUUUAAGUUUGAAAGAUGCAAUUGCAUCACUCAAAGAUGAUCCCGCGUUGUAUUAGCUAGUUGGUGAGGUAAAGGCUCACCAAGGCGAUGAUACAUAGCCGACCUGAGAGGGUGAUCGGCCACAUUGGGACUGAGACACGGCCCAAACUCCUACGGGAGGCAGCAGUAGGGAAUCUUCGGCAAUGGACGAAAGUCUGACCGAGCAACGCCGCGUGGGAGAAGAAGGUUUUCGGAUCGUAAAACUCUGUUGGUAGAGAAGAACGUUGGUGAGAGUGGAAAGCUCAUCAAGUGACGGUAACUACCCAGAAAGGGACGGCUAACUACGUGCCAGCCGCCGCAGUAA
rnacentral:rRNA from 1 species